AUAUUUUUGUAAUUUGUAAUUCUAGCUAAAAAUUAUAUUAUUUUAUUAAUAGUAAUGUAGCGGAAAGGUGUGAGGGACAGCCGUAAAUCUUUUUGUUUAAACAUUAAUAUGUAUUUGUUUAAAUUUUUUAGUUCAAUCGAUAGGUAUUGAUGAGAAAAAAAAAACAGAGCAACAACGGAUUAGCGGAACCGUUGUUGUUGUUGCUUUUUGUUUUUCUGGAAGGCACGCGACUUUUUUUGCCUUUUUCACUUGCGUUUACGUAUGUGAAGGAGUUAGAAUUGCCCGCAAUUAACGUAGUUAAAUAAAAUAAACGAGUGGUUUAAUAGUGAUACCUAUACGAUUCCCAGACAAGGCUGAUGGUAAAUCUAUAAAAAAAUGUUAUCCGAGGAACUUGUUCUCUCCCACAACUUGGAGGGGGGGCAAAACAAGAAGAAGCUCAGUCUACCCAAAUUUCGGCCGCGUCUUAUUAAAUGCCCUCGGAACCUCCCGAAAAGGCGCUGCAGAAGGCAAUGCGGUGCAUUAAAAACUUAAGCUGUACCAAAAAAAAGGCAACGCCGGCACCAGAUGCUGAGGAGGAGGUGCCAGCGACCCCGGUAACACCGGAAACCACCGAGCUCAAAUUUUAAAAUAAACAAAUAAAAAUUACAACUAAAAUUUUA